GAUGAACGCUAGCGACAGGCUUAACACAUGCAAGUCGAGGGGCAGCACGGGAGUAGCAAUACAACUGGUGGCGACCGGCGCACGGGUGAGUAACGCGUAUGCAACCUACCUAUCAGAGGGGAAUAACCCGGCGAAAGUCGGACUAAUACCGCAUAAAACAGGGGCACCGCAUGGUGAUAUUUGUUAAAGAAAUUCGCUGAUAGAUGGGCAUGCGUUCCAUUAGGUAGUUGGUGAGGUAACGGCUCACCAAGCCGACGAUGGAUAGGGGAACUGAGAGGUUGGUCCCCCACACUGGUACUGAGACACGGACCAGACUCCUACGGGAGGCAGCAGUGAGGAAUAUUGGUAAAUGGGCGAGAGCCUGAACCAGCCAAGUCGCGUGAAGGAAGAAGGACCUAUGGUUCGUAAACUUCUUUUGCAGGGGAAUAAAGUGCAGGACGUGUCCUGUUUUGUAUGUACCCUGAGAAUAAGGAUCGGCUAACUCCGUGCCAGCCGCCGCGGUAAUAC
rnacentral:rRNA from 1 species